GACCUAGUAGCGAAGUAAUCGCACCUGCCCCGAGUGCUUCUUAUCCGAUCCAAUCGUAAAGCAGGCUAUCCUGGUUCGAGUCCAGGCUAGGUUU